AACGAACGGCACGAGAUCGCCCUGGUCGUUUCGGCAACCAUUGUCAAGCAAAGGCGAUGCUGGCCUUUCGUGCAUCGUGAUCGCGACCAGCGUGGGUGGCAGCAUGGUGACCGACUAUAGUAGCCAGACUAGCUAGACCUCUUGGCCAGCUGUUCUAGAGGCCUGGUGACUUGCCCACCCUGAGGACCUGGUGGCCAGCUGUUCUAGCGACCAAGUAUCAUGUUCUCCGCUCUGCGCACCCCGUGGCAAGAUCUUCCAGCGGCCAGAUGCCCUGCGGCCCAACCUGCGGAUCUUGUGGCUAGCUGUUAUAGCGACCAGGUGUUCUAACAAACCGGUGUCUUGCUCUGUGCCUUGCGGACCAAGUGGACGGCAGUUCUGGCGACCUGGUGUCUUGCCGCCUGCCCGGACCUGGUGGCGAGCUGCUCAACCGACCUUAUCGGCUUGCCCCACGAGACAGGCUAUUCGUUCUGCAACUGAAAAUUACUAGGUCCACCUGGCUCCUGGAGCAGCGAGGCGAACAGCAUGCUCAGGCGCACGCUCAUGUCGGGUUACAGGUGCCAGUUGUGAGCGACGUAGGAUGACGCAUUGCCCCAGCCAUGCCGGUGGCAUGAACACUCCCUGAUGUCUCCGUGUAGCUGGAUACUCCACUUCAAAAAUUGGUUGGCCAAGAUGUCCAGCAGGGUCGAGGCUCCUUGAUCUGCAUUUUCAAGCGCAUAUAUCUUUUUAGAUCCUGAGCAGCGUGCUCACCGGAAGUGGGAAACAUGGCGACUAUCUCCCCACCACGGACUUCGAACGCGAAGUCCAUCGAUCGGACGCAACCUGGUCCGAGACCUCCGAAGAGCCGCCGACGCAAGAUGCAGAGGUUCAGCUGCAACACCAGGUGGCGAACCUGCGUCAGAGCGGCCACAUUUACCGUCACGACGACGUGGCUGUUCGAACCAUUGCUGAGAAUUCCGACGAACGCGUGUUUACGCACACAUAAAAAUAAAGUCUCACAACACCGCUGGCCAUCAGGCCGGAAGACGACGACGACGACGACGACGACGACGCCGCCGGCGGCGGCGGCAACGACGUAUAGCAUCCAGGACGUGCCAGACGACUCGCACUUCAGAUGCCACUAGUCGAACUAACUAUAAGUCUUUGCGCGGUACAUCCUGAAUAGCCUAAGGAUAGCUUGGGCAGGGUCAUCGAAAAAGAGCACCGAUAACACGGCGCCUUAACGAGUUAUCGAGUUGGCAAAGGCAGGCGAAAGACAAGGAGUGGAAUGGUGGUGGAUGGCAUGAAUAUCUUAAGGGACGGAAAACCACGUGCGACUGCAAAAUUUGGCGGAGAUGUUCGCAGUACCGCAUGCUGUUUGCGCACUGUUUUUUCUCCAAGCCACUAAGGUGCUUCGGUGCCCUUUUAACACUGUAAUGCAUAACGCACCGCCUGUAUACUGCGCUGCUUGAGAUUCCGAAAUUGAAAUUUGAGCAGCUGAAACAGAAGUAGCGAUAUUAAUUCGCUGUCGAAAUAAGUGUCGGUUUUGAAUAGCUUGGGAAUCGAAUUGCUAACUACAGUGCUAAUUAACAUUGCUCACGAAUUCUGCUCACAAAUUUGCACUCCAUGGCGUGUAAUGGAGAAAGUUCUGCGUACGUACAAGCGUGCUUUAGCAUUACAGGGUUUAAAUACUCCCCCAAUACUGUUCGUUUCAGUGUUGGACGAUUCGAACAGCAAGUUAGUCAGUGUUCGAAAACUGCAGCAGUGGACGACGAAGCCUGGAGUGAGACACGACGCUUCUGCAAUAUUCACAGAGCAUCUUGAAGGCGUACCACAGGUUAAGUACAUAAAAUUUCACGAUGUCUUAUCACGAGCCCCCAUAACUGGCGCCCGUGUAUUUUGUUGCAGGAAGAGUUGCUCGUGAUGUCAGCAUUUCGCGGAGGUUAAGCAAUCGCCGUAUAAGAAGGAAGAGCCACUUGAAUACUCGUGUAAUUUGGGGCUUUUUUUUUCCCCAGGUCUAUCAUCUGCUUUUCUUGGGGGCUCCACCCCCCCCCCCCUUUUUUUUUCUUGUACUGAAUAGCUGUGCGCAUCUCUCAGCCUAAUGCUUCCUUAAAGCUGUUUCAAAUAUACUUCCAGUGUCGCGAUUUUCCCCUCGUGCAUCUAACUCCUUUCGGCUGUUACGGUUUUCAGCAUUUAGGAGUCGCCACUAAGACGUUCUGAAACUGUCCUCAUGUCGUUGCCAUCGCUAAUUCUUACGUGGGUACUUGCGACAUGCGUGUGAUUCGCAGCAGCUGUUGUUCCAUAACUUACCUAUUCGACGUCAUUUCUUAUGUUGGGAAAUUCCGCAACGUAUUCUUCAUUCCGGCAUUUUUUCGCGGUAGUCUACAUGUGCGCGCGUGUCAAGUACAGAAGAUUGGUUGGCUUAUAGCAACGUAGACGUCGCGUUGCUCCACGCUAGUCGGUAACAAAAACGCUUACUGUGGACUCCGUGCACCCGGAUGCUCCACGUUGAAUAUCGGUUGGCCAGGAUGUCGAGCAGGGUUGAACCACCUUGCUCUGCAUUUUUGUUGCUCUGUAGCUACGAACGCACGUAGUACACAUCCAAACAUUGAUGAGUGCUGGCGUUACUGAAGUUCGCAAUUAGUGGAGGUUUUACUACACGCAAUCCAUUCGUACUGUUUGCCUUGCAUGUACCGCAGUACAACCCUCAAAUUGCACCUACGACAGUCUCCUCUUGAUUUCGUUUGUGUGCGUGUGUUUUGACCCGCCCAUAGGAAUUAUUCGACUCUUGUAACCAGU